rnacentral:rRNA from 1 species
GACGAACGCUGGCGGCGUGCUUAACACAUGCAAGUCGAACGGAAAGGCCUCUUUCGGGGGGUACUCGAGUGGCGAACGGGUGGGUAACACGUGAGUAACCUGCCCUUGACUUUGGGAUAACUUCAGGAAACUGGGGCUAAUACCGGAUAGGAGCUCCUGCUGCAUGGUGGGGGUUGGAAAGUUUCGGCGGUUGGGGAUGGGCUCGCGGCUUAUCAGCUUGUUGGUGGGGUAGUGGCUUACCAAGGCUUUGACGGGUAGCCGGCCUGAGAGGGUGACCGGGCACAUUGGGGCUGGGAUACGGCCCAGACUCCUACGGGGGGCAGCAGUGGGGAAUAUUGCACAAUGGGUGGGAGCCUGAUGCAGCAACGCCGUGGGCGGGAUGACGGCCUUCGGGUUGUAAACCGCUUUCGCUCAUGACGAAGCUUUGUGUGACGGUAGUGGGUAAAGAAGCACCGGCUAACUACGUG